rnacentral:rRNA from 1 species
AUACGUAGGGGGCGAGCGUUGUCCGGAAUGAUUGGGCGUAAAGGGCGCGUAGGCGGUCUGAUAAGUCAGAUGUGAAAGGCUAUGGCUUAACCAUAGUAAGCAUUUGAAACUGUCAGACUUGAGUUAAGGAGAGGAAAGUGGAAUUCCUAGUGUAGCGGUGAAAUGCGUAGAUAUUAGGAGGAAUACCAGUGGCGAAGGCGACUUUCUGGACUUAUACUGACGCUGAGGAACGAAAGCGUGGGGAGCAAACAGGAUUAGAUACCCUGGUAGUCCACGCUGUAAACGAUGAAUACUAGGUGUGGGGGGACUGACCCCCUCCGUGCCGCAGUUAACACAAUAAGUAUUCCACCUGGGGAGUACGAUCGCAAGAUUGAAACUCAAAUGAAUUGACGGGG